rnacentral:rRNA from 1 species
CCCGCUGAACUUAAGCAUAUCAAUAAGCGGAGGAAAAGAAACCAACAGGGAUUGCCUCAGUAACGGCGAGUGAAGCGGCAACAGCUCAAAUUUGAAAUCUGGCUCUUUUAGAGUCCGAGUUGUAAUUUGUAGAAGAUGCUUUGGGUGUAGCUCCGGUCUAAGUUCCUUGGAACAGGACGUCAUAGAGGGUGAGAAUCCCGUACGUGACUGGGUGCUUUCGCUCGUGUAAAGCUCUUUCGACGAGUCGAGUUGUUUGGGAAUGCAGCUCAAAAUGGGUGGUAAAUUUCAUCUAAAGCUAAAUAUUGGCCAGAGACCGAUAGCGCACAAGUAGAGUGAUCGAAAGAUGAAAAGCACUUUGGAAAGAGAGUUAAACAGUACGUGAAAUUGUUGAAAGGGAAGCGCUUGCAAUCAGACUUGCGCGCUGUUGAUCAUCCGAGCUUUUGCCCGGUGCACUCGGCAGCGUUCAGGCCAGCAUCGGUUUUGGUGGGCGGAUAAAGGCCUUGGGAAUGUAGCUUCUUUCGGGGAGUGUUAUAGCCCUCGGUGCAAUGCGCCCUACCAGGACCGAGGACCGCGCUUCGGCUAGGAUACUGGCGUAAUGGUUGUAAGCGGCCCGUCUUGAAACACGG